UCCCCUUUCACUUUUUUUUCUUUUUUCUUUCUCCCUAUUCUCUCGGCCCUCUCCCUUCGAAACUCUCCCUCCACUUCUCUCCUCGAUUUCAUUUACUUAGAGCGUGAUUCCGAACAAAGCCCAAGAAUUAAAGUCGUUAUACGGAGUGCGGGCUUCCUAUCCAUCCAAGAAAAAUCAUGAUUGGACAACGUGGGAGCUCGGUUGACUUGGUCAAAGGUUUGGGUUUUGCUCGAAACCCAUGAGGUACAUCAUAGGGGCGCAGUCAUGGAGAGUUUGGAGUGCGUGCAGAUAUCACAAACUAAAGUUAUUUUCGGAAGUACUUGUCUAUCUUCGUAAAACAAAUUGCAUUGUAUUGUUUUCUUUAUUUUUUUUUUGGAAUACUGUAUCGGGUGGACAUACUUGUGAAUUUGGAAACUGUAAUGUAUUUGGGGGUAUUGUAUGUACUAUU